UUAAUUGAAGCCAAAGGGGAGGCAACUUAAUGUUAAUAAGUUAAUUGAUAUUAAUUAUAUCCAAUUAAA
rnacentral:tRNA from 1 species